GCAGUAGCCGCGGGAAUACGGAGGAUCCGAGCGUUAUCCGGAUUUAUUGGGUUUAAAGGGUGCGUAGGUGGUUUUUUAAGUCAGGGGUGAAAGACGGCAGCUUAACUGUCGCAGUGCCUUUGAUACUGAAGAACUUGAAUGAACUAGAGGUAGGCGGAAUGUGACAAGUAGCGGUGAAAUGCAUAGAUAUGUCACAGAACACCGAUUGCGAAGGCAGCUUACUAUGGUUUGAUUGACACUGAGGCACGAAAGCGUGGGGAGCAAACAGGAUUAGAUACCCCCGUAGUCCCUGUCUCUUAUAC
rnacentral:rRNA from 1 species